rnacentral:rRNA from 1 species
UACGGAGGGUGCAAGCGUUGUUCGGAAUCACUGGGCGUAAAGGGCGCGUAGGCGGUCCCAAAAGUCUGAUGUGAAAGCCCGGGGCUCAACCCCGGAAGUGCAUUGGAAACUGUGGGACUUGAGUUCGGGAGAGGAAGGCAGAAUUCCCGGUGUAGGGUUGAAAUCCGUAGAUAUCGGGAGGAAAACCGGUGGCGAAGGCGGCCUUCUGGAACGAAACUGACGCUGAGGCGCGAAAGCGUGGGGAGCAAACAGG